AACGAACGCUGGCGGCAUGCCUAACACAUGCAAGUCGAACGAGACCUUCGGGUCUAGGGCGCACGGGUGCGUCACGCGUGGGAACCUGCCCUUAGGUUCGGAAUAACUCCCCGAAAGGGGUGCUAAUACCGGAUAAUGUCUUCGGACCAAAGAUUUAUCGCCUUUGGAUGGGCCCGCGUUGGAUUAGCUAGUUGGUAGGGUAAAAGCCUACCAAGGCGACGAUCCAUAGCUGGUCUGAGAGGAUGAUCAGCCACACUGGGACUGAGACACGGCCCAGACUCCUACGGGAGGCAGCAGUGGGGAAUAUUGGACAAUGGGCGAAAGCCUGAUCCAGCAAUGCCGCGUGAGCGAUGAAGGCCUUAGGGUUGUAAAGCUCUUUUACCCGGGAUGAUAAUGACAGUACCGGGAGAAUAAGCUCCGGCUAACUCCGUG
rnacentral:rRNA from 1 species